rnacentral:misc_RNA from 1 species
UGUAAAGGUGAGGGCCUGCGGAACUUUCCCUCUGGUGUCUGAUUACCAACGGCUUUUCUCAGAUUUUCUGGGGAACUUCCAACAUUGGUUUUUGAGGCCAUCGAAAGAAAGCAAAUUUGUUACAUAGAUCAAAUUGGGAAAACCCAUUAGUAAGCCCCAAGCAUGUUAAAUCCACGAGCAGUACUGCCUGUUUUCAUCUUCAAAUUUGUAAACAAUAGAAUUGUGAUUUUCCUUAAAAUGCCAAUUCUUAUUUCCCCGAAAAAGAGUGAAAGAAAGCACUCACUACACUCACUGUAGAGAGAGAUAAAAGAGGGCAAUGUAUGAGAGCUCCCUCUCCCUAAAAUGUGUGG